UACGAAGGGGGCUAGCGUUGUUCGGAUUUACUGGGCGUAAAGCGCACGUAGGCGGAUCGUUAAGUCGGGGGUGAAAUCCUGGAGCUCAACUCCAGAACUGCCUUCGAUACUGGCGAUCUUGAGUCCGGAAGAGGUGAGUGGAACUCCUAGUGUAGAGGUGGAAUUCGUAGAUAUUAGGAAGAACACCAGUGGCGAAGGCGGCUCACUGGUCCGGUACUGACGCCUGAGGUGCGAAAGCGUGGGGAGCAAACGGG
rnacentral:rRNA from 1 species